AGAGUUUGAUCCUGGCUCAGAACGAACGCUGGCGGCGUGCUUAACACAUGCAAGUCGAACGUGAUCCAGAGCUUGCUCUGGUGAAAGUGGCGCACGGGUGAGUAACGCGUGGAUAACCUGCCCUGGUAUCUGGGAUAACAUCUCGAAAGGGGUGCUAAUACCGGAUAAGCCUACGGGCUCCUCGGAGUCUGCAGGAAAAGGAGGCCUCUAUUUAUAAGCUUCCGUAUCAGGAUGGGUCCGCGUACCAUUAGCUAGUUGGUGGGGUAAUGGCCUACCAAGGCGACGAUGGUUAGCUGGUCUGAGAGGAUGAUCAGCCUCACUGGAACUGAGACACGGUCCAGACUCCUACGGGAGGCAGCAGUGGGGAAUUUUGCGCAAUGGGGGAAACCCUGACGCACCAACGCCGCGUGAGUGAUGAAGGCUUUCGGGUCGUAAAGCUCUGUCAGAGGGGAAGAAAUGGGUCUGGCUAAUAUCCAGAUUUCUUGACGGUACCCUCAAAGGAAGCACCGGCUAACUCCGUGCCAGCAGCCGCGGUAAUAC
rnacentral:rRNA from 1 species